AAAGGGGGCGGAACCAUAUCUGCAAGACAAAGACCCCAGAAGGUUAUAAAAAGUGAAUCCCUCUGUGUGUUUCUUCACUCUGUUUAAGAAAUUAUUCCUGGAGUCCACUAGUGUUAAUAAAUGGGGUCCCUCCCUUUCUCUA